UUUCGGUAGCCGCGCUUUCCGGCGUUGGAGUUGCAGCUUCACCCUCGCAGAUUCGGCUUAGCGAGCGAGUCGGUGCUUCCGCGGAUCAAAAUUAUUAGCCGUUUUAUUAGAGCCCAUUAAACGUUGCAUAAACAUGGUUCAGAGCUGCCUGGGAGAAGAAAAGCCAAAGGAUGCCACCCUCUCGAUUUAUCCCACCCUCGGGAGUCUGAAAGCCGACGCCAGGAGAAAUCCCGCGAAGGCCGCCCGGGAUCCUGGUAGAGGCGACGCUGUGUGCGUUUAUGGAGCGCUUGCGGUGCGUGGCACUAGGCUGGGUGUGGUGGGUGCUGCCGAAAAAAGGGUUCCUCCCAUCCAUUUGCACGUCACCCUUCCCACCUCCUGCCCAGAUGGACAGAAGUGAGGACAUUCAUCGGCCGCAUUUUACUAAUGGCAAGGAGAUAGCGACUGAAGGGCAAGAACCUAGGGUUUCCUGUCUUUGAUAUUUCUCAUCUUUGAGCAAAAGGAGAGAGGCCAUUAUGGGGAAAAAGAUCCAAAAGGACUCAUCUAAAACACAAGUUGGGUAGAGGAGAUAGGUGAGUACUAUUAUAUUAUGUUCAUGGAAAAUGAGUUCAUGGGCUUUCCUCUAAUUUUUAUUUUAAAAAUAAAUGUAAAUAUUAAAUAAAAUUUUUUAAAUGAA
ensembl:lncRNA RNF139-DT RNF139 divergent transcript